rnacentral:rRNA from 1 species
UACGAGUGGUGCAAGCAUUAUUCGGAAUCAUUGGGCGUAAAGGGUGCGUAGGCGGUUUGGUAAGUCUUAUGUGAAAUCUACAGGCUCAACUUGUAGUCUGCAUGAGAAACUGCCGGGCUUGAGUAUGGGAGAGGUGAGUGGAAUUCCUGGUGUAGCGGUGAAAUGCGUAGAUAUCAGGAGGAACACCUGUGGCGAAAGCGGCUCACUGGACCAUAACUGACGCUGAUGCACGAAAGCUAGGGGAGCAAACAGG